rnacentral:lncRNA from 1 species
AUUGCACUUUAAGAUUUCUCUGCAAUGCAGGGUUGGCACAUUGAACAGAUUGCAGAUUUUGAAAACAAAAUUCAUUAAAGUCAGGUAACAGAGAUAAUAUACAUGUAGCCCAGUUUGAGUUUUCUAACAUAUGAUGGAUGAAGGAAAUCAAGAUAGACCGGACCUGAAAUCUGAAGGUCAAAUAUUCCUUGGAAAGGGGAAUUUGAAAUCUGCUAAAAUGAAAAAUCCAGGGAAAUAUAGUUUAUGAUAAGUUUGAACAAAAACAAUUGCCUUAUCUUUCUGUUCAGUAAUCCCUGUGUAUGACUGGGGCGAUUGAAAAAUACCUGAAGUAAUUUCAAAUUAAUUUAAAAGUUGCCAGACAGAUUCACCACAACUUUGAAUAAAACCAGAUUUUUUUUCCCUUCCAUUUAUAUUUUAAUGACUGAUUUAGAAUUGACUUUCCAUAUCUUUAAACAUGUUUGCUUAAGUAAGGAAUCUACACAGACUUCCUCUUGUCUAGUGCACUGCUGUUAAAAUGUCCCUUUAUUUUGCAUUGUGCUUUGGGAGUAAUUUAGGGUAAAAAACUUCAGAAUCCUGCAAGAAUAGAAUGCCUAACUAAUGACCAUGUUUGCUGGGGCCACAGGCAAAAGUGAUUGCGUGGGAAAUGCUUGCUAUUGCUGAGAGCAAACCGUUACUUGUGAAAAGUUGAGACCCCAGACUUCAAUAUUUUUCACAGCAUGGUUUCUCUAGUCUUUUUUUCCCCCAAUUAAAUGAUAAGGUCAUAUGAAUCAGUAAAUAAUCAGAAUUAUCAGCAAAGGCUUUCUGGAGGUUUGUUUUUUUUUUGUUUUUCUUUUUUUUUACAUUUUCUAUUUUUAUAAGAUCUCUUGGCCCUCUUGUAUUUUAAAAAUAGAAGGAGUUUACAUAGGGAUUUACUUUCGGCUUAUUAAUAUGAAACUGCAUCAUUGCAGGCUCUGUGGGGGAAAGAUGUUCUGGUUUGCUAAGAGACAGGUUAUCUUUCAGGCAAGAAGAGUACAUGUCUUAAGCUUUGGGGAGAUACAGGUGACAGAGUGAAGGGACUGACCCAUGAAUAUUGCAAAAAUAUUUCAGAUGAAUUUUCUGGUUUCAGAUGAAUAAAUUUUUUAAAAAAAGACAGACAAUUAUCUGCCUUUCUAUAAAGUAUGCCAAUCUCCUAGUUGCACUCUGAAACAUGCCCUCAGUUAAGGCCAAGUAAUAAUUAUGCAGUAAUUACGCUUUAGUUUCUUAGCACUUUCUGCUUUUAUUAAAAAUAUUUUAAAAAUAAAAAAUAUAAGACAGCCAUUUCCUCUUGCACAUGGGCUGACAGCACUUUCUGCAAUGAGAGCAAAUGGUUAACCGGCAGGCUGCUGCUGUUAGUUUUUUUCAGGGCUUUGAAAAUGGGAUGACUCUGCAGAGAGACAUUUACAAGGAAACACAUGUCUAACUUCACAAUUAGCCUAUUUUGCCUGGUAUCUAAGGUAGCUCAGAAACAUUUCAGCUUUUAACUGGUUACAGAAGAAAGAGAGUGUUUCUUGCCAAUGAAAUAAUGGCCAACUACUACGAUUAAAUCCACUUAGUGUCUACAUCUUAAAUUUGUAACUUCAAUGUCACAUAAAGUAUUGUUCAGUUGGGCCACAACAGGAUAAUACAGAGAAUGAUAACAGUCACCUUAAGGAAAAAAGGAAAAAAGUUCCCAUGACUUUAAAAAUGAUUGAUCCAGUUCCACAUUUAGCAAAAACGUUUUAUUUUAUAUUAGACUUUUCACUUUAAUCACUCUUUCUGAAGGUGACUUGAAGGUUAUACAAGCCAAUGAAUUUAGUAUAUAAACUUUUUUUAAAAAAUGUGUAACUUCCUUUCUUCCCUCUUUGUCUCAUAUUUUUGAAGAACAUUUACUACCAUAAUAUUUUACAUAGAAAGAUAUGUAUGAUUUUGCACUUUUUACCUUAAUGACACUAAGGCUCUGGAAUCUUCUGAAAAUAUUAACGAGAGGGUAUAAGCAUGAAGACAUAUGAAUUUAUCUGUUGAGUAUGACUAUGAUAUUUUUAUAAUUUAUUCUAAAUAAGGAAGUUACAUAUGAUUUAGAUGUAAGAUAUUCUUAAUGAAAUUAUCUCUGGGUUGUGGCACCACAAGCUACAGUGUGUUUUGAAUCAAUUUAUUUCUGAGGAUGUGAAAACUUUGUAGUUAAGAGAUAGUUAUUACGAGGUUGUACAUAAUGCUAAUGGGGAAAAUGUUCUUUGCAUAAGGAGUUUCUUCUUUGGAUCAAAAGUAAGGUUAGAAAAAUAAGAAGUUGGCAUUUUCUUCCUCCUUUCCAUAUUUCCUUACCUUAAAAACAAUACUCUUUUGAUACACAAAAAUGCAAGGAGGAUGUGAAAACUGAACAGCAAGCAGGAUGCUUUGGAUGGAAGACCUCACAGUCAAAUUGGUAGGCUGACUCCAUCCCAGCAUAGAUCAUCUGUACUUUGUCCCAAUUUGCUGUGAUGUCUUGAACCUAAUCCUUUCGCUUGGGAUCUAAUUCUAGAAUUCAUGACAAAUAAUUUUUUAAAAAAUAAAUUGUCCUUCGCUGAUUGUUUAGAGGGCUGUUGAUGCAGGAAGCUUGGGACUCAUUCCCCUGGAAUGAGAACCUAAGGAAAACAAAAGCAAAUACUUUCUCCUCGAGCCUUGGGAUGUCAAACUUUAAAAGCCACUUUGACUUUUUUUUUUUGACUUGAGUUGUUGAAAGCAAAAUAAAAAUAUCCUCAAGAGAGAAAGGCUUGCCAGGGAAUUGGGAUGUGUAGAUCCCCAUAGUCUUUAAUUAAAACAAGUCCGUCUGAAUCACAAUGUCCUUUUUCUAAUAUUAGGCACCGAAAUGGUGUUUGUUUCCCUUGCCAGAUAUUUUUAUUCAUUGAAUUUUGCCUUAUAUUUCUGAGUGACUGUUUUUUUAUGAAUAGUUAAUUGAAGUAUUUAUAAAAUUAAAAAUAUUUUGUAUCUUUCUAUUGUUCUAAAUAUAAGCUUAAUCAUUUGUGAAAUUUUAUAUCUGAAAAUAUGUUGUAUGGUGGAAAGACAGCUUUUGGCUUUAACAUAGCUUGCUGAUUUUUUUUUUUUUUUUUUUUUUUUUUUUUUUUUUGCUGUGUAAUGCCUGCACCGGGAAUCAGUUCUGUGAAAGCCAGAGGAGAAAGACUUGGAAUUUUAAAAAAGUACUUAAGAUAGCCUUGCUAAAAGUGAGUCUAAAAAUAAUACAGCACUGUUGUAUUAAUUUUCAGCAUGUUUUUAAUUGGACAUGUUGGCUUUACUUAUAAAGCGGCAGAUCUUGAUAAUAUACACUUGAAUUUUUAGCACACUGCAUUGCUCAUAACUUUGCACCAAUGCAGCCAUGUAAUAUUUAUGGCAUAUUUUAUCCCUAGCUUACCAAGGCUCGAUUUAGCAAGAGACAUAAUUCUUUUAUUAGAAACUCUUAAUUAAAAUGAGCUUCAUUAAACUAGAGCAGAUCAAUGAUAUAUUAUCUUUGGAACAAAUUUCUGAGAAGAGCUAAACCCAGGACAUAAAGUCAAAAAGAAGCCCCACCUAACAAUUAAGUCUCAUUGUCCCAGGACUGGGUUCUUUCCCCACAAAUCUCAGCAAUUCUCAAAAUUCUUUCAUUAUCUUCGGAAAAUGGGCUCACUGUCACUGCUACCUCUUUUCACAAAGACUGCUGAGAACAGACCAUAUUUUAGAAUCUUUUUACUCAUCUUUUUGUUAACCUUAACAUAUACUUGUAGAAAUUUCAAAAAUUCAGAGAAGCAGUAGUUGAAGUAUUUUCUUCUAGCUUUUCCUCUGUAUUUAAAUAUAGAUAGGAUCUUUCUGUUUGUGUAAUUCUAUACCCUGCUUUGUAAAAUAAAUAUAUCUGAAUAUGUAAUUUGCUCUUUUAGAGAAAGGAAUGUGAUUUUGUCUGCCAUGAGACUUGGGUUCUAGCCAAAUAUUGACUUUCAUUUUCCUCUUUAAGGAAAAAAGAUUUUUAAGGGCCCUUUAGAUCAAUAACGAUAGCAUAAUACCAACAAUUAAUAUAAUGGUAAUGAUAAUAGAUCAGGAGAUUCUAAUUGGGUCUGAGUAUUAAUUUCUCUUUCUCUCUCUUUGUGUCUGCCUCUCUCUCUCCUUGUUUAUUGAGAGGAGUGUCAUCCUGAAGUUGAAGGCAGUGAUGUGACAGUCAGAACGGUGACCUAUAGUCUGGCCUUCUCAGGCCUGAAUACUGUAUUCCUUUACACUUAACGGUACCCUGCAUCCCAAAGCCAUUAUCAUCAUUACCCCCAUCAGAUUUUACAUGUGAAUGACACUUCAUAUCAAAGAAGCCAAACAAAACUAUGUGAUCUCAUCUGGCCUGAGUACUAGGGGUAGACAGGGUAGAGCACAGAGUAUUAUUCACAUUUUACAGCUGAUAAAAUUCAUUGAGAUGUGUCCAAGGCCACAUAACUGGUAAGCAAUGGAGACAAAACCAGAGCUCAGCUCUUUUGAGAGUAGUGCUAACAUUAAAAAAAAUUCCUCUAAUAGGGCAUCAGGUCCCAUCUCUAUCAGGAGUUCUCCAUGUGGCUCAGCAGGUUAAGAACCUGACUGGUAUCCAUGAGGAUGCAGGUUCAACCCCUGGCCUCACUUAGUGGGUUAAGGAUCUGGCAUUGCCGUGAGCUGCCAUGUAGGUUGUAGAGAGGGCCCGGAUCCCAUGUUGCUGUGGCAGUGGUGUAGGCUGGCAGCUGCAGCUCAGAUUCAACCCCUAGCCUGGGAACUUGCGUGUGACUCUGGUGUGGUACUAAGAAGAAAAAAACAAUUCAGUCCCCAUCAGCAUGAAAAAUAAACAAACAAACAAAAAAACAAAGAUAGGCAGACAUAAGUAAUAUCAGUAACAAGAACUGAUGUUUAUGAAGUGCUUCCCAGGUACCCAGCACUGUGCCAAGAUUUUACUGGAUUAUGUCAUUUAAUUAUCAUACCAACCCUUGGAGGUGAUACUGUUAUUAUCCCCAUUUCUUAGAAAAGGCAGUUGAGCAUGCAGGCACAGAGAGGCUAAGUACCACACACAGCUUGGCGGGGAAGAGGUGAGAAUCUACGAAUAUCCGACUGGAGAGAACAUGACUCACCUCCGUGUAAUACUACCUCGAAGGCCAUGCAGUCCAUCUCAAAAAAGCCAUUUGAAAGUUAAUAAUUUAACUGUUUGAUGGUGUUAAAACAAUCCAGAACAGGAUUUACCUUGUGAUAUGGUGGGUUAAGGAUCUGGUGUUGUCACUGUGGCUGCUGGGGUCGCUGCCGUGGUGCAGUUUCCAUUCCUGACCCAGGGACUUCCCCAUGUCUCUGAGUGCAGAUGCCCCUCUCCCCCCAAAAAAUCCAGGACACACACUAUGUGUUCUUUUGCUGCCAUAUCCCCCAUUUAUAUAAAUAUGAAACAUAAAAAAUUUUUUUUCAGGUAACAUCGUUUCUUGGUUUGUGACUUUAUUAAAAA